rnacentral:hammerhead_ribozyme from 1 species
AUCCAGCUGAAUGGUUCCAAAAAGAAGGAAACGCGCUUCCUGGAU